rnacentral:rRNA from 1 species
UCAGGUAGGAAUACCCGCUGAACUUAAGCA